GUCCACGCCGUAAACGAUGAGUGCUAGCUGCCGGAAACGUCUACCGUUUCGGUGGCGAAGCUAACGCAUUAAGCACUCCGCCUGGGGAGUACGGCCGCAAUGGCUGAAACUCAAAGGAAUUGACGGGGGCCCGCACAAGCGGUGGAGCAUGUGGUUCAAUUCGAAGCAACGCGCAGAACCUUACCCAGGCUUGACAUCCCGGGAACCCUGCUGAAAGGCGGGGGUGCCGUCGCAAGACGGAGCCCGGAGACAGGUGCUGCAUGGCUGUCGU
rnacentral:rRNA from 1 species